rnacentral:rRNA from 1 species
GACGAACGCUGGCGGCGUGCCUAAUACAUGCAAGUUGAGCGCUGAAGGUUGGUACUUGUACCAACUGGAUGAGCAGCGAACGGGUGAGUAACGCGUGGGGAAUCUGCCUUUGAGCGGGGGACAACAUUUGGAAACGAAUGCUAAUACCGCAUAAAAACUUUAAACACAAGUUUUAAGUUUGAAAGAUGCAAUUGCAUCACUCAAAGAUGAUCCCGCGUUGUAUUAGCUAGUUGGUGAGGUAAAGGCUCACCAAGGCGAUGAUACAUAGCCGACCUGAGAGGGGGAUCGGCCACAUUGGGACUGGGAAACGGCCCAAACUCCCACGGGAGGCAGCCGGAGGGGAUCUUCGGCAAUGGAAGGAAGUCUGACCGAGCAACGCCGGGUGAGUGAAGAAGGUUUUCGGAUCGUAAAACUCUGUUGGUAGAGGAGAACGGUUGUGGGAGUGGAAAGCUCAUCAAGUGACGGGAAAUACCCAGAAAGGGACGGCUAACUACGUG